rnacentral:rRNA from 1 species
UACGUAGGGUGCAAGCGUUGUCCGGAAUUAUUGGGCGUAAAGAGCUCGUAGGCGGUCUGUCACGUCGGCUGUGAAAUCCCGAGGCUCAACCUCGGGUCUGCAGUCGAUACGGGCAAACUAGAGUAUUGCAGGGGAGACUGGAAUUCCUGGUGUAGCGGUGAAAUGCGCAGAUAUCAGGAGGAACACCGGUGGCGAAGGCGGGUCUCUGGGCAAUAACUGACGCUGAGGAGCGAAAGCGUGGGGAGCGAACAGG